GGACUCAUGGGUAAGGCCUGAGUCUGAGCGUUGAUGUCGACCUUUUGAAGAGUUAAUGUUUAACUUCCAGGUAAAACCUGACCGUCAGUGGCUGGACGUGGUGUUUAAAGUCCAGUUUGAUCUGGACAGUUGGACCGGAUUCUGUGUCUGUGAUGCUACAGUUUGAGCGUUGAGGAGAGAGAGAGCUAACAAGGUGGAAAUCCAUCCGUCAGGUUUCUGUUCAGUGUGAGCCAAAGGUCUGUCCUCCCCCCUCUCUAUCAGCCCACAGAGGGGGAGGGAGGGAGGGAGGGGUGAGCUCGUACCACACUGUCAUGUCCCGGAGCGGCCGGAGACUCCUCCCUCCUCCUGGACUGCAUAUCUACAUUAGAGGGGGGGCGUCCUCCAGUCCAGGUCUACACUGUAAACUGUGACAUUUCACAGUAAAAUCACUUCAGUUAAACACUGACAUCAGUUUCUGUUUUUCCUCUUUCUUUAUUCACAUCUUGCUUUUUUCUUUAAAGCUCCUCCAGUGUAAAGGUCUGUGUCCAUGUGUAGUGUGAUUAUAGAUUAUAGAUCAGCUCUAGCUUCUAUAUUAAUACUGUGAAAGUAUCAAAGCCUCAGUCCACAGAGAAAUGCACACAGCCUGUAUUCAGAAACUGAAGACUGAAACUAACAAUGAGCUACUGAACCUCCCUCAGAUCCCUGAAACUGACCUUUAGAGCACCAAGGACCAAAUAAACUUCCCCAAGGUUUCCCAGAACUUGGUCACUGAAGUUCUGCUGCUAGAACCUCCUCAAGAACUCCUUGAACUUACUUCUUUGAUGACCAGGUGAAAUAAGGAGCAGAGAUGUCAGAGGAUGAAGAUGUUGGACAAGGAGGAGGAGGAGAGAAGAGGUCGUCAUGGUAACAGCUGUAGUCAAGUCCCUCUGAGCCGAAGUGGUUCUGAACAAACAGGAAGCAGCUGGACGGUCAACACAGAGCCACACUACAGCAAACAGCAACGAGAGAGAGACAGAGAGAAAGAGAGAGAGAGAGACAGAGAGAGAGACAGACAGACAGAGAGAGACA